GAUGAACGCUGGCGGCGUGCCUAAUACAUGCAAGUCGAACGAGUUCUGGUUAAUGAUGGCGGUGCUUGCACCAAUAGAUUUAACAUUUGAACGAGUGGCGGACGGGUGAGUAACACGUGGGUAACCUGCCCUAAAGUGGGGGAUAACAUUUGGAAACAGAUGCUAAUACCGCAUAAAUCUUGGAACCUCAUGGUUCCAAGCUGAAAGAUGGCGUAAGCUAUCGCUUUUGGAUGGACCCGCGGCGUAUUAGCUAGUUGGUGAGGUAAAGGCUCACCAAGGCGAUGAUACGUAGCCGACCUGAGAGGGUGAUCGGCCACAUUGGGACUGAGACACGGCCCAAACUCCUACGGGAGGCAGCAGUAGGGAAUCUUCCACAAUGGACGAAAGUCUGAUGGAGCAACGCCGCGUGAGUGAAGAAGGCCUUAGGGUUGUAAAGCUCUUUCAGCUGGGAAGAUAAUGACGGUACCAGCAGAGGAAGCCCCGGCUAACUCCGUGCCAGCAGCCGCGGUAACAC
rnacentral:rRNA from 1 species